rnacentral:rRNA from 1 species
AUUGAACGCUGGCGGUAUGCUUAACACAUGCAAGUCGAACGAUGAGAAAGAGCUUGCUAUUUCGAUUAGUGGCGGACGGGUGCGUAACGCGUAGGAAUCUACCUAUUAGUGGGGGACAACUUAGGGAAACUUAAGCUAAUACCGCAUACGCCCUACGGGGGAAAGAAGGGGAUCGCAAGACCUUUUGCUAAUAGAUGAGCCUGCGUAGGAUUAGCUAGUUGGUGGGGUAAAAGCUCACCAAGGCGACGAUCCUUAACUGGUUUGAGAGAAUGAUUAGUCACGCUGGAACUGAGACACGGUCCAGACUCCUGCGAGAGGCAGCAGUGGGGAAUAUGGGACAGUGGGCGAAAGCCUGAUCCAGCAAUACCGCGUGUGUGAAGAAGGCCUUAGGGUUGUAAAGCACUUUCAAUUUGAAGGAAAACCUCGAAGCUAAUACCUACGAGUUUGACAUUACCUUUAGAAGAAGCACCGGCUAACUCCGUGCCAGCAGCCGCAGUAACAC